UACGGGAGGCAGCAGUGGGGAAUAUUGCACAAUGGGCGCAAGCCUGAUGCAGCCAUGCCGCGUGUAUGAAGAAGGCCUUCGGGUUGUAAAGUACUUUCAGUCGUGAGGAAGGUGUUAAGGUUAAUAACCUUAGCAAUUGACGUUAGCGACAGAAGAAGCACCGGCUAACUCCGUGCCAGCAGCCGCGGUAAUACGGAGGGUGCGAGCGUUAAUCGGAAUUACUGGGCGUAAAGGGCACGCAGGCGGUUAAUUAAGUUGGAUGUGAAAUCCCCGGGCUUAACCUGGGAAUGGCAUUCAAGCUGGUUAGCUAGAGUCUUGUAGAGGGGGUAGAAUUCCAUGUGUAGCGGUGAAAUGCGUAGAGAUGUGGAGGAAUACCGGUGGCGAAGGCGGCCCCUGGGACAAAGGACUGACGCUCAUGUGCGAAAGCGUGGGGAGCAAAC
rnacentral:rRNA from 1 species